GAAUAUUGGACAAUGGGCGCAAGCCUGAUCCAGCCAUGCCGCGUGUGUGAAGAAGGCCUUCGGGUUGUAAACUGCUUUUGUACGGAACGAAACGGCUCUCUCUAAUACAGGGGGCUAAUGACGGUACCGUAAGAAUAAGCACCGGCUAACUACGUGCCAGCAGCCGCGGUAAUACGUAGGGUGCAAGCGUUAAUCGGAAUUACUGGGCGUAAAGCGUGCGCAGGCGGUGAUGUAAGACAGGUGUGAAAUCCCCGGGCUUAACCUGGGAACUGCAUUUGUGACUGCAUUGCUGGAGUGCGGCAGAGGGGGAUGGAAUUCCGCGUGUAGCAGUGAAAUGCGUAGAUAUGCGGAGGAACACCGAUGGCGAAGGCAAUCCCCUGGGCCUGCACUGACGCUCAUGCACGAAAGCGUGGGGAGCAAACAG
rnacentral:rRNA from 1 species